UACGAGGGGCCCAAGCGUUAAUCGGAAUCACUGGGCUUAAAGGGUGCGCAGGCGGACUAGAAAGCAUUUUGUGAAAGCCCCCGGCUCAACCGGGGAAUUGCAGGGUGAACUACUGGUCUUGAGGCAGGUAGGGGCAGACGGAACUGUCGGUGGAGCGGUGAAAUGCAUAGAUAUCGACAGGAACGCCAAUGGCGAAGGCAGUCUGCUGGGCCUGUCCUGACGCUCAGGCACGAAAGCGUGGGGAGCAAACAGG
rnacentral:rRNA from 1 species